ensembl:lncRNA
CUCUUGGGGUUUGACUUGAAAGACUUCCAUAGGGAUAAAAAUGUGAUGCUUGAGAAACUUGUCUAAACCAAAUAUGGAUUUCCUCUAAGUGCAGGAAGUUGUGGGAUGCAGGAGGAGGAGGAGCAGGAAUUUCUGAGACACAGCUAAACAGGAGAUCACCUCUGAGUCCAAUUACAUUAGCGCAGAGCUGAUAGUUGCUUAAUCCGGAGACCCUGAGGCAUGUCAGUGAUUUCAGAUGUCUUUCAGCACACAUGGAUUACAUUGUGGAAUUUCGGACUGUUAAGGAAACUCACAAGCCUAUGGAAUCAUAAAAGAAAAGACCUGUGGGAGGAAAGUUAAGAAUUCUGCUUCCAAGCAGACAUUAUUGCCAGAAGAAGUAUUUGAAGUGCUUUGGAAGUCAUUUUAAUUUUAAAAUGCUUGCAAAAUUAAGAGGCAUACAUCCAAGUUGUCAGUAAGAGGACUAUUAAUGAAUAACUAACAAUGAGGUGUUUUUUUAUGAAGACCCUUCUUGAAAAAGACGAUUGACAUGUUUUGAAACCUUUAGGAACUGCUUGCCAACAGAGACAAAAAUGGAAUGUAGUUAUAUUGCUGAGAAGAAAUGCAUAUACAUUUGGCAGCAUCUUGAAACCCGUGAGAAAAUGGUUGUUAUUUUAAAAUGGAAAUAAGAUGCAAACAUUCCAGAAUGGUACACCUGCUUCAGCAAAGCUACUUUGGUGUGUGUAUGUGAGUGUGUAUGUGUGUAUGUGCAUGUAUGUGUGUAUGUAUGUGCCAUAGAUGCAUUUGACUUUAGUCUAAUUCUUUUCUAAUUGAAAUAUGUUCUGUGGACUAGUACCCUUGAGAUCACCUGGAAGCUUGUUAGAAAUGAAGAAUUUCAGGUCCAGCCAAGACUCACUGAAUCAGAAUCUUCAUUUUGUCAGGAUCCUCAGAUGAUUCAUAUGCCCAUUAAGACUUGAGAAGUACUAUCUAAAUCACUUUGUUUUUAGAGACAAAGAGAUACAAUCUAUUACACACAUGCCCAUUAAAUCGACUAUUGGAAAAGUUCAUCUACCUAGUAACAUGGAGAGAACUGAAGACAAUAGAGGAGUGGAUCUCAUCUGAAGAAACCACUUUCUUUGCUCAUCCACAAGAAGCAACUCAUCUGUUUAAGUUCGAUCAUGAGAUUGAAGAAAUUCAGUUACAUCUUCUGGCUUCACUUCCAAUUUUAGUUCUCUUGCUUUUUCUACCACAGCUGCAGUUACAUCCUCUACUGAGGUCUUGAUUUCCUCAAAGUCAUCUGUAAGGAUUAGAACCAACUCAUUCCAAUUCCUGUUAAUGUGACUGUUUGAACUCAUCCCAUGAAUCAUAAGUGUUCUUAAUGGCAUCUGGAAUGAUAAAUCCUUUCCAGAAGGUUUUUAAUUUACUUUGUCCAGAUCCACUAGAGGAUUCACUAUCUACAGCAGCUAUAGCCUUACAAAAUGUAUUUCUUGAAUAAUAAGAUGUGAAAGUAAAAAUUACUUCUUGACCUGUGGGCUGCAGAAUGGAUAUUGUGUUAGUGGGCAUGAAAGCAACAUGAAUCCACUUGUGCAUCUUCAUCAGAGCUCUUGGGUAACUAGAUGCAUUGUCAAUGAGGAGCAAUAUUUUGAAGGAAAUCUUUUUUUCUGAGCAGUAGAUCCCAAUAGUGGGCUUAAAAUAUUCA